UUUGGUGCAGAAUUUUUAAUUUUUUGGCACAGAAUUCCCUCAGGAGUAAUAUGCAGAAGCAGUUCCCAAGACUUUAAUGGAAGUUCCAUAUGCAACAUGUUUUUCCAAAAAAAGUGCAGAUUAAUGUAGCUUUUGCUCCUCACUUACACUACAAGUAUAUUAGUAGAGAAGAUAGAACAAGGCAGGAUCAACAUCUACAGAGAAAGCACCCAUAAAGACUCUCUAGACUCAGAUGACACAGAGGUAGGAUUGCUAUAACUAGAAUGCCCAGAGAAUUUGGGUAUAGAUUCACUGUACUGUGGUCUGCAUUGACUUCCAUUUUGUUUUCAGGUCAGUGAAAAAAUGUGUUACUCUGAGGAUUGCCUUUUAGGAUUGACCUCACCCUCAGUCCAGGAUAUUUGGAUUGCACCUCUCUUCCUGUAAAUACUGAAAGCAUCUCAGAUGCACUUAGGAGGCGUUGGAGUUUGGUCACACACACCCCUUCUGCCCUCAUUCUGGAUGAAUAGUUCCAGCACUGUUUUGAAACACUAAAUUCUUAUUAAGAUGUGGCCAUAACACCUGUUAAAUCAUAUUCACUCCCCAUAUGGACCCUGUGGAGAUGAUCCAAGCUGGACUUUAUACAUGAAGAGAAUUGUUUGGGGUGGCGGGAGGGGAUCAGGGUGGUAAAAUAGGACUACCAGAAAGAAAAUAAUCAGGUAACAAAUGUUCCAUCCUGGAGCAUGAUCUUUACCUGAAUUGGGGACAUUUAGGACAUAGGGAACAGUAAGGAAAUAGUAGGGACUGGGAGAUAUGUAAGAUAGAAGGAAAGGAUUUCCCUACAAAUUAAUAUAGUUAGACUUUUAAGGGACUUUAUGGAGAAUGUUCCUGAUGAAGGGUGCUUCUACAGAGGAAUGAAGGCUAAGCCUGGGGUGUUUACUCACUGAGUUAAUGGAUGACCAAGUGGAUUAGAAAUUUCCUCUGUAGCAGCAGAUUCUACUUCUGCCCAGCAUGUUGAAUGGGCUCUGAUUCCUUCUUGGACAAGUCGGUUACCGCUGUGUAAGCUGUAGCAAUACUGAGCAUGUCCACUUGGCUCUGGCAGGUUUAGGAUUUUCAGGGUCACGCAUGUAGGGUAAAAGGAAACAAAUAAAAGGUGACUUUUUCCUGGACUGCUCUGCGCUACUAAGGAAAAUUUAAGCAACUCAGGCAAAUUAAAAGGAAAAAAAUGAUCUCCUGUGAUAGACGAUAAUGAGAGUUCACUUUGCUCGUGACUGCUUCUGCAAUAAGAGGAACCACUUGGGCUCCAUGGAAGCUUCAAUAAAGAUUUGUGCUUUGUAAAAGCAGAAAUUUCAGAGACUCCUACUCAUUCAGAAGGGAGAAUAUACAUCUUUGCCACAAACUUUUUUGUUAGCGUGAACGUGUCUUUGCUGUGCAUGGAACUGAGGGACUAACAGCAACAGAGCAGGCAGAGCGUGAACAGAUGUUGUUUAAUGCAGUUUCCUUGCUUCUGCUAUUUUUUGCUGAUUUUUCUUCAGUGUUCAGACUAUGAUAAGUGGACUUAGAAUUAAAAUGCUACCAUGUGACAAUUUUCUCUUACAUGAACCAAAUGCAUCUGUUGAUUCAGUAACUGUUGAUCAGUUACAGUCUUUGUGCCUUAAACUGAAUGUUACAUACUUUCUUAUGGCCAGCAAUGAAAUAGUGGUUGUGACUGCAAUGGACACACCAUGUUUUCUUUUCUAUCCAAAGCCAGAAGGGACUUUCUCUGUAUGACAUGCAAACUGGUGGCUGUGCUGUAAGAAAAGAUACGUGGUUUGGAAGGACAAUUACAGACACUGUGGAGCAUCAGAAAGGCUGAGGUGUUUUUAGAGAAUCAGAUCCAGGAAGCAUCACCAUCUCAAAGUCCAGAAAGGAACUGGUCAGCAAGGAACCAGAAAAAGUGGUAAUUAGAGGAAGCUUGGCUGUUCAUAGUCUCUAGAGGCAAGCGGACAAGGUGGCAUUCUACAUAGCUGUAAGCAAAAGUGGAAGGGAAGGCUUUGAUUACUAGAGAGAAGAGGACUAGGAAGAACUUCACAAAGCUAGAUGUAGCCACUUGUUCUGUUCUCAGGCUGGAAACUGCAGAAAACAUCCCUGACAAUCAAGCUGGAUGAAGGGAAUGGAGAGUUGUAUGGGACAUACCUGCUAAUGGCUUUUCAGCCCAACCUACAAGACAAUCAAGUACGUGCACAAAGAGCUCUCCAACUGUCCAUGGAAGGCUGAUCCUUGUUGGGGAUUCUGUACUAAGAAGAAUGGAAAGAACAUUCUGCAAGAGACAACAUGGUGUGCUGUCUUCCUGGAGACAAGAUACAGGAUGUCAUUCCAAGAUUGGUUAGGAUUCUGAAGUCAAUAGGCCAGGAACCACUGCUGAUAGAUGCAUGUCAGCACUAAUGACAAUGCUUUGCAGGAUACCUCAGAGAAUAGAGAUGACUUCAGGGAACUCUGAAUGUUCCCGAAGAAAAAGAAUGUCCAAGUGAUCUUCUAACAGAGCUUUCCUAUCCCAUGAGUGAAAGAAGACAGAAGGCAGAAGAUUCUGGAAAUGAACAGCUGGCACUUCUAAGAAGAAUUCUCUUAUCUCCGGUCAUCACUAAUGCAGGGAUGAUGAGAUUCAGACCACUGCACCACCUCUAUGAAGAGGCACACCAAGGGAUUUUUCUGAUCAUGUAGUAAUUAAGAUUUUAUGGAGUUUCUAAGCCAAGGAGAAUCUCUCUUAACCUCAGUGCAUGCCAGGAAGAGAGAGAGGAGGCAGCAAGGAUAUGGCAUCUUGCAUGCAAGACGGACUACACUGCAGCUCCUACUCGACUGAUUUCCAGCCUUCUACAACAGUAGUUCUCCCAUUCGUUACAGAUCUGCCCCGGUCCCCUACUACUAUUUACAUAUUUGUCAUAUCUGUCAGAAGCAAAACCUACCUUUUU